UAUUUGAAUCCUAAGGGUAUAUUCCAUUGAAAACCUGAGCAUCCAUGCAAAUAAUUAGAGGGUCCCUCCCCCAUAGAGGGAUUGAUCUUACAAAACAUGUUAUUAAGUUGGUCUGCCAGCAAAAGGUGCUCUGAUCUUACUUUGAGUCAACAUAAGGGUGCACAUUUUAGUUUUUGUCACAAAGUACAUAGCCUGGGUUCUCCAUGACAUCAUCCUAUAAAGUAUUAUACAAGUCCUUUUCUGUCUUUUUCCUAUUCUACUUUACACUGUGCUGUGACACAGGGUGAACCAAAGAACUAUGGAGACAGAACUCAGCAUGACCUGAGCCUCAAAAUGUUUUCUUUCCUUUCAGUUACAGGUGGAGCAUAAAAGAUUCAAAUGUUUUUCUUCAAUCUUAAAAAGAUUUCAUAAGAAGAGCCCACGUCCUUGGAAGGAACCUCCAGUUCCUCCAAUUACUUUGAAAGAACCAUCACAACCAAGGAAAAAAGGAAUACAACCCUAAAGAGUACCAAUGUACCUAACAGUCACUUUGGCUCUCACUGAAUAACAUGAACUAGAGGAAAGCCGAGGCCCAUGUUGGAUGAUCCAGUGUGGCUUCACCUGAUUUAGGCAGGACUAGGUGAGCCACUCUCUGUACUACAUACUUUUACCUGUGGGUGAUCCAUUUGGAUUAGAUCUGAUCCAGGUUACAGGUGAAUUAUAUAAAAACCUUGGACAGGGCAGUUGGAGAGAGUCCCAGAAGUGCUCAUGUUACACCCUGUGCCUAGGAGUGUGAGAGAGUAGGAAAGAACUCUAUAAGGACAAGGAAAAUGGAAGAUUUCUCUGAUUUUCCUCUUUCAGAGGCAUAAGAAUAAGCAGUAGCUGUCCAUGGAAAUGGCACCUAAAUUAUUUGUCCAUCCCCUUUAACAAAAUCCUUUGAGUAAAACACUCUAGGGAUGAAAGGUUUGUUUUGCCCCUUAGCUUGAGAAUGAUGGGCAUCGAGAGAAAGAGAGAGAGAGAGAGAGAGAGAGAGAGAGAGAGAGAGA